rnacentral:siRNA from 1 species
GAGCGAUUUGAGGACCUU